GCUUUUGUAGUGUAGUGGUUAUCACGCAACCUUCACACGGUUGAGGUCCCCGGUUCGAUCCCGGGCAAAAGCA
rfam:Anncaliia algerae PRA339 unplaced genomic scaffold supercont2.55, whole genome shotgun sequence.